GUGGGGAAUAUUGGACAAUGGGCGAAAGCCUGAUCCAGCCACGCCGCGUGUGUGAUGAAGGCCUUCGGGUCGUAAAGCACUGUGGAGAGGGAAGAAACGCAAUGGGAAUAAUACCUCAUUGAAUUGACGGUACCUCUUUAGCAAGCACCGGCUAACUCCGUGCCAGCAGCCGCGGUAAUACGGAGGGUGCAAACGUUGCUCGGAAUCAUUGGGCGUAAAGCGCGUGUAGGCGGCUGGUUAAGUUGAGUGUGAAAGCCCCGAGCUUAACUUGGGAAGUGCGCUCAAAACUGGCCAGCUAGAGUACGGGAGAGGGUAGUGGAAUUCCCGGUGUAGAGGUGAAAUUCGUAGAUAUCGGGAGGAACACCAGUGGCGAAGGCGGCUACCUGGACCGAUACUGACGCUGAGACGCGAAAGCGUGGGUAGCAAACAGGAUUAGAAACCCCAGUAGUCC
rnacentral:rRNA from 1 species